rnacentral:misc_RNA from 1 species
AGGCAAUGUAGAUUCUUCAAUACCAUGAAAAGGCAGAAACCUAAUAACAUUAUUACAGCUAAUUUACCAAAGACAAAAGCAUAUGCAUUAUACAAAUAAGCAAAGAAAACUCUCAGAUGCGUUUUCAAAUUCAAGUAAAAACUGUCAUUCCGUGAAUUUGCAGACCACAUUUCUCGAUGGAUUUUUUUUCCCUAAUACAAAAACCAAGUAUUAAACUAAAGGAAAGACAACUAAUUUCUAUAUUAUAUCAAAGUGCCUAAUUAGAAAUUUCACUCGACAAUAUGCUUCAAUUUAAGUAUUUAAACUUAGUUGUGACUUUGAACAAUCACUCCCUCUUUUUUUUGAUCAGUGAUAGUAUGAUCCAAUCUUCUUCCCCUCCUCACUGGAGCCUCUAGCAUUGUCAACAUCCCAAUCACUUGAAAAAAGAAACAGAGAAUAUUUCUAAUUCAUCACUUACCCUUGCAGCCAUGCGUGACUUGGUUAUUCUUUUUGCUUCAGCAAG